GUGGGAACUGAGAAGGGUUAUUUUUUGAGUUUAUUUUAUGAUUAAACUCGGGGCAGAGUAACCCGAAGUGUUCAAAAUUAAAUUUUUUUUUUUUGUUAAAAACAAAAAUUAUUUGAUAAUGGCAUCAAACUAUGGUGCUGUAUAGGCAUUUUUAAAUUCUAACCAUGUAUUUUUUUAGCAUACGUUUAUUUCCUGGGAAACCAC